UGCCAGCAGCCGCGGUAAUACGGAGGGGGUUAGCGUUGUUCGGAAUUACUGGGCGUAAAGCGCGCGUAGGCGGAUUAGUAAGUCAGAGGUGAAAUCCCAGGGCUCAACCCUGGAACUGCCUUUGAUACUGUCAGUCUAGAGACCGAGAGAGGUGAGUGGAAUUUCCAGUGUAGAGGUGAAAUUCGUAGAUAUUGGGAAGAACACCAGUGGCGAAGGCGGCUAACUGGCUCGGUACUGACGCUGAGAUGCGAAAGCGUGGGGAGCAAACAGGAUUAGAUA
rnacentral:rRNA from 1 species